rnacentral:lncRNA from 1 species
UUGAUCAUUGAAGUGUUUUUCAAGGUAUUUUUUCAGCCUUUUCAGUCUGCUCUUUUCAAGAAUGUUUUGACCUAUUAUUUGCUACUUUCUCUAUUAUUUGCUAUGCUUAUACUAUCUCUGCAUUGUCUCUCAAACUGUCGUGUUAUAGGUUGCUUAAGCUAAGGAUCUUCUUUGGAGAUAAUUUCUCUAGCUCCGUGAGGUAAGGGCAAGGCCUGCAUACACAUUACCCUCCUCAAUCCCCACUUACGAGAAUAUAUUGGGCUAGUUGUUGUUUGUGAUCGUAAUAUCAAAAUAUUAGAGUAUUGAUAAGGCUUUGGACCAAUAAUUUACCACUAGUUGCACAUAUUGAUGCGAACUUUCUUAAUCUCAAACCACCAAAAUUAUUAGUUUAUCUAUUUAUAUUAAAUAUUUUGUUUUUUAUUGGAAGGAUUGGCCUUUGCCCACCAUUGCACUACUUGCAAAACACCCUAUUAUUUGAGAAUUCAUGUUCAUGGUGAUAGAAAAUGGCGAACUUUGAAAUUUUAAUUUUUUGUAACCAGAGACAUGUUAUCCAUAUUUCUUGUGGUUCAGCUUGCUAGUGGUUGUCCAUCUUAAGUUUUGUUAUUUGAUUUUUUAAAAUGUCUUCUUAAUUCUGUCCACAAUAAUUAUACUCACUUGAUGGCUUAAUUUUGUUUUUCGUGCUAUAACUUCAUUGGGAUAUUCAGAAGAUAACUACUUUGAAUUAUAAUUUAAUGUGUCGUUGUAGUACAAUAGUAUUUAUAUCUUCAUUUAAAUAAAUGUUACAUCUACCUUAAUGACAAUUGAUAAUACAUAUAAUUCAUUUUUAUUCUCUAUUUUAUGCAUAUUUUAUUAUAAACAUACAACUCACGUGCAAGACACAUAUCCUAAACUAGUAUAUAUAUAUAUAUACCCUGAAAAAAAUGUAGAAGGGAAAAGAAAAAGGAUAGAAAUGAAAAAUGAAAAAAGAAAAAAUUGUAUAACAUACAUAUAACAAUGCACAUAAUAUUCUAUUCCAUAGCUUUACUGUCUAAUUUUAAGGUGAUAAUUUGUUCAGUUAAAAAUAGUUGAAAGAUUAUUCAAUUUAAUUGAGUUUUAAAAAUUAGUUAAAUUAACUUUCUAAGAAUAAAACAUAACAACUACAAAGGAACAGAGGGAAUAUAAUGUAUCUUUAUGAUAUCCCACAGACAAAUGUAAGACGACAACUAAUCAAAGAUAUACUCACAAGACAUCGAUGAUAAAUAGAUUAUCAAAACAACCCAGAGCGGCAUCAAGAUCUUUGGCAAGAUAUAAAUCUAAAAAAAAAUUUCAUGUACUCAUUCUUUGAAGCGUUUGCAAAGAUUAAUAAAAAUACAACAAACAAACAAAUUACGUAAUCAAGAAAAAAUAUCAAAUAAAAACAUCAUUUAAUUAUCGAUAUUCACAAAAAUUACAAAAAAAAAUAAAAUUAAUAAAAGCAGAGCACACAAAAAUAUUAGACCACGUAACAAAAAAAAAAACAAGUUUACUAUCAUUGUUAUAAACAAGUCCAAUUAGGAUUCAUGCCCCUUUUUACACGUUGUUUAGUUAUAUUUUUACCAUAUAUAUAUUUUAAUACUCCUAAUUUAACAAAAAAAUUUAUCAUAUAAUUUAGGGAUAACUACAUGACUUAACAAAUAUAGAUUUCUAAUUAUGCUAUUUAGUCUAAGUUUAAAUUAAUUGACAUUCAUAGUCUAUCUUGCAAUUAAAUAUAAUUUAUAGCUUCUCUCUUUAUUUUCUUUCUCUACCUUUUAUUUCUCUUUUUUACUUCUUUUUUUCUUUCUCAGUUUUUCUUCUUCUUUUUUUCCUUUUCUCCUUUUUUCGUUUUCUCUUUCUUUUUUGUUUUUCCAUUUUUUUCUUUUCAUUUUAUUAUCAUUUUUUUCUUUUUUGUUCUUUUCCUUUUUAGUUUUUCUCUUUGUUUUAUAUUUUCUUUCUAUUUUUUCCUUUUUUAAUAUUUUUAAAAUUUCUUUUUUUCCAGUCUUUUUUAAUAUUUUCCUUGAUUCUUUUUUCGUUCUUUUCAUUUUGUUGGUCAUUUUUCUCCUUUUUUUUAUUUUUAUAUUUUCUUCUCUGAUUUUUUUUUUAUUUUUGUUGUAUUCUAUAUUUUAUUUAUCUUAUAUUUAUUUGUAUUAUACUUUAUAUUUUAAAUAAAUUUAUUAUUUAUAGCUGAAUAGUUUAGUUGUGAAUAUGUAUAAUUUAUCAUUUGUAUUUAUAUACAAAUAAGCAUAUUGAUUAAUUGUAUUUGCUUGAGACUAAAAUAUACAAAUUUACAAUGUAUCAUUCAAUGCAAAUAUGAAAUAUAUCGUUGGCAUUUGUAUUUCAAUUUUUUCAUUUACAAGUAUCAUUUUGUAUGCAUAUAGUUGAAGUUAUAUAAACAUGUAUCAUUUAUUUUUGGAAAAAUUACCUAAUACACAACAUAAAUUUCUAAACUUCUAAAAAUCCCCCCACUUCUAAAAAAUUACUUAAAUUUCAAUAUUUCAUAAUUUUUUGUAAAGUUGAGAUACAAGUUAAAACACCCAACUACAAAAAAAAUUCUUUAUCAAAAAUAAUUCACUUCUCCCUCUUUGUACGCCACAAUUUGUGGAGCGGUUUCUAUCCAACUUCUUCAUUCAAUUCAAAACUUGAAGCAAGGUAAUUUUCCUCCCUAAAAUUCACUUCAAUUUCUUCUAAUUGUUUUUACGUUUUUUUUUUUCAAAAAACUUAUUUUGCGCCUAAGUUUACAGAGUAAAAUUUGGGUGAUUUGGUUGAGCAAUUUCUUUGAUUAAUUAUUUUUUAGGCUUCAUUGUUUGAAUUGCCAUUAUGAAUAGAGAUUCGGGACCUUCCUUUAGUCUUGGAGUUUCUCAAUUAGAAAGUAUUAAAGAAUCUCAUGAAGUUGUUAACUUCGUUUUCGGAAGUUUUGAUUAUGAAUUUUUUGACUUUGAUGAAAAUAGAUUAAAGCAUAGAAACGAUCCUCAAAUUAUGAAGAAGUUGUGACAAAAGCAUUCUAAGGACAAGAAAAAAAAGUAGUUCUAAGAAAAGGAGAUCCAACAGAAAGUAAAGCUCCUGCCAAGAGAAGAAAAAUUGUUGAAGCAAUUUUCAGAGAUGAACUUCCCAAGGUAAUUGCAUGUUCAAAUCUAUUGAAUGUUGGGCCGAGAUACAUAUUUUG